rnacentral:rRNA from 1 species
UACGUAGGGGGCUAGCGUUGUCCGGAUUUAUUGGGCGUAAAGAGCGUGUAGGCGGCCAGGUAGGUCCGUUGUGAAAACUCGAGGCUCAACCUCGAGACGUCGGCGGAAACCCUCUGGCUAGAGUCCGGAAGAGGAGAGUGGAAUUCCUGGUGUAGCGGUGAAAUGCGCAGAUAUCAGGAGGAACACCGGUGGCGAAGGCGGGUCUCUGGGCAGUAACUGACGCUGAGGAGCGAAAGCGUGGGGAGCGAACAGG